GCUGGACCGUGUACAAGUCUCCUGGAAUGGAGCGUCAUAGAGGGUGAGAAUCCCGUCUCUGACACGGACUACCAGGGCUUUGUGGUAUGCUCUCAAAGAGUCGAGUUGUUUGGGAAUGCAGCUCUAAAUGGGUGGUAAAUUCCAUCUAAAGCUAAAUAUUGGCGAGAGACCGAUAGCGAACAAGUACCGUGAGGGAAAGAUGAAAAGAACUUUGGAAAGAGAGUUAAACAGUACGUGAAAUUGCUGAAAGGGAAACGCUUGAAGUCAGUCGCGUUAGCUAGGAAUCAGCCUUGCUUUUGCUUGGUGUACUUUCUGGUUGACGGGUCAGCAUCAAUUUUGAGUGCUGGAAAAAGGCCUUGGGAAUGUGGCAGCUUUGGCUGUGUUAUAGCCCUUGGUCACAUACAGCAGUUGGGAUUGAGGAACUCAGCACGCCGCAAGGCCGGGUUUCGACCACGUUCGUGCUUAGGAUGCUGGCAUAAUGGCUUUAAGCGACCCGUCUUGAAACACGGACCAAGGAGUCUAACAUGCCUGCGAGUGUUUGGGUGGUAAACCCUUGCGCGUAAUGAAAGUGAAAGUUGAGAUCCCUGUCGUGGGGAGCAUCGACGCCCGGACUUGAACUUUUGUGACGGAUCCGCGGUAGAGCAUGUAUGUUGGGACCCGAAAGAUGGUGAACUAUGCCUGAAUAGGGUGAAGCCAGAGGAAACUCUGGUGGAGGCUCGUAGCGAUUCUGACGUGCAAAUCGAUCGUCAAAUUUGGGUAUAGGGGCGAAAGACUAAUCGAACCAU
rnacentral:rRNA from 1 species